UUCCGCAAAGUUAAUUUCAUUCGCAUCGAUCUUUCGCCUUUUACUAAAGUGCGCCGUGGAACUAACUCAUAAAAUGUGGAUCCCUCCUAGUGAGGGGAACUCUCCUCCUUUUUUUUCAAAGUAU
rnacentral:snRNA from 1 species